rnacentral:miRNA from 1 species
ACUCAGCCUUGAGGGCACUUUC